rnacentral:misc_RNA from 1 species
GUUCUAGCUAGUUAUGCUUCCCCCGAAGCUUCACUAAUAGAGGAACUGUCCGGAAAAGGAUAAAGUGGGUCUGAACUAGGCGUCCGGCUAAGACACUAGUAGUUCUGUCCAAGUCUGCUUAUGAGUGGCUUAUUGAAGAGCCAGCGGUAAAUGUCUUGCUACCCGGAAAAAAAUAUUAGAAGAAUAGGGUUUUUCGUCUGGGACACUUGUAGUUUAAGGUUCCCCAUAAGCUGGUCUUGACUUGUAAUGCUUAUCCGACUUUCGGAGGGACAGUUUCAGUCUCAA